rnacentral:rRNA from 1 species
UACAGAGGUCUCAAGCGUUGUUCGGAUUCAUUGGGCGUAAAGAGCUCGUAGGCGGCUUGUUGCGUCGGCUGUGAAAUCCCGUGGCUUAACUGCGGGCUUGCAGCUGAUACGGGCGGGCUGGAGUUCGGUAGGGGAGACUGGAAUUCCUGGUGUAGCGGUGAAAUGCGCAGAUAUCAGGAGGAACACCGGUGGCGAAGGCGGGUCUCUGGGCCGAUACUGACGCUGAGGAGCGAAAGCGUGGGGAGCGAACAGG